rnacentral:rRNA from 1 species
AACGAACGCUGGCAGCAUGCCUAACACAUGCAAGUCGAACGCCAUGGUUUCGGCCAUGGAGUGGCGCACGGGUGAGUAACGCGUGGGAACCUGCCCAGCAGUAUGGGACAACCGCGGGAAACUGCGGCUAAUACCGUAUACGCCCGUCUUUGGGAGACCAGGGGCGGGGAAAGAUUGAUCGCUGUUGGAGGGGCCCGCGUCGGAUUAGGUAGUUGGUGGGGUAAAGGCCUACCAAGCCUGCGAUCCGUAGCUGGUCUGAGAGGAUGAUCAGCCACACUGGGACUGAGACACGGCCCAGACUCCUACGGGAGGCAGCAGUGGGGAAUAUUGGACAAUGGGCGCAAGCCUGAUCCAGCAAUGCCGCGUGAGUGAUGAAGGCCUUAGGGUUGUAAAGCUCUUUCACACGCGACGAUGAUGACGGUAGCGUGAGAAGAAGCCCCGGCUAACUCCGUGCCAGCCGCCGCGGUAACAC